rnacentral:misc_RNA from 1 species
AACCAUGCACUCAUCUGCAUUUUCGACCAGUUGAUGAACUGAGAGAGUAGCGUUGUAAGGCUCAACAACAGUAUCGGAAACCUUGGGAGAUGGAAAGACAGAGAAGGUAAGCAUCAUCCUGUCGGGGUAUUCUUCUCUGAUCUUCGAAAUCAGAAGAGUUCCCAUUCCAGAUCCAGUUCCUCCUCCUAGAGAGUGGCACACCUGAAACCCUUGCAAGCAAUCACAGUUCUCCGCCUCCUUACGGACGACAUCGAGCACGGAAUCAAUAAGUUCAGCGCCUUCAGUGUAAUGACCUUUAGCCCAGUUGUUUCCAGCACCGGAUUGACCAAAAACAAAGUUAUCCGGCCUGAAGAUCUGUCCAUAAAGGCCAGAUCUGAUGCUAUCCAUAGUACCAGGCUCAAGAUCCAUAAGAACA